rnacentral:rRNA from 1 species
AGAAUCAACGCUGGCGGCGUGCCUAACACAUGCAAGUCGAACGAGAAAGUGGAGCAAUCCAUGAGUAAAGUGGCGACCGGGUGAGUAACACGUGACUAACCUACCUUCGAGUGGGGGAUAACAUCGGGAAACCGAUGCUAAUACCGCAUAACAUCGCAAGAUCAAAGCAGCAAUGCGCUGGAAGAGGGGGUCGCGGCUGAUUAGCUAGUUGGCGGGGUAACGGCCCACCAAGGCGAAGAUCGGUAGCCGGCCUGAGAGGGCGCACGGCCACACUGGAACUGAAACACGGUCCAGACUCCUACGGGAGGCAGCAGUGGGGAAUUUUGCGCAAUGGGGGAAACCCUGACGCAGCAACGCCGCGUGGAGGAUGAAGCCCCUUGGGCGUAAACUCCUUCGACCAAGACGAUAAUGACGGUACUGGUGGAAGAAGCACCGGCUAACUCUGUGCCAGCAGCCGC